GUGUCCUUAUUGUAUAGACAUGCGUGAGCUUUGUAUAUGGUGCAUGGUGUCCUUAUUGUAUAGACAUGCGUGAGCUUUGUAUAUGGUGCAUGGUGUCCCUUGAUGUUGUCUUUCUUGAUUCGGGUGAUAGCUGGAGUAACUCCAGUACUUAUAUUUGAUCUCAUUGUAAAGGUUGAAAAGGUUCAACUAAAUGAUUCAUAGUCAAACAGCAAAUGAUUCGUAUGUAAUUCGUAUAUAUUCGUUUUACCUUUAAAAUGAAAAUGUCGUGCGUAAUUUCUAUAUAUUUUACAUUUACAAUGCAGUUAAAAAAAUCUUAUCGGUACCAUUAAAAAAAUCAUUAUACACUAAAAUUAUAUUGUGAAAAUUGGAACAUUAUUCCAGAUUUAUCAUGGAAAACUUAAUAUUGCCAUUAAAAGGUAAAAUGUAUAGGUACGUAACCUUAAAACAUGAUUAGGUAUGAAAUUUGAAUUUAUAAAAGCAAACACCCGUUAUAAGUAGUUUCAGUUGACAGCUUCAUUAGGUGUAACUCUACGUAUCGGUUCAGAAUAAAACAAAACAUAAUGGAAAGUGUUACAGGUAAUUUCUACAUCUUCCUUUUACUUUCAUCGCUUUUUUAUUACCAUAGGUCAAAUCUAGAGAUUAAGAACACUCUGUAAACGUAUAUUAACGACAGCUAAAACACUGAAAUCAGAAAAUUAUAUCCUUUAUUGAACAAUACAACCGUGACACACAUUGAAAGGUUAUGAAGUACCGUGCAGAACACAUCUAAGUUGUAUGUUCAAACAGUGAGACGGGUCUCUUGUGUCUUUACUUUUAGUUUUUUCUCCUACUUAAAUAUGUAUACUUUUGACAAUUUACCUUAUGGUAAGAUACUGUAGUCUGGGAAAAAUAUAUAGGAUAGUGCUGGUUCAUUUUAUCUAGAACAAUGGAACAGAUCACUCAUAAUAUCAUUAUUACAUUUUUGUAAAACAUGAAAUUCAAUGUAGGAUUCUGUUUUUGUAUUCAUAUUAAAUUAUCGUUUAUUAGUUCUGAUCUAUUUAAUUAAAAGUUUACUGUAGUGUUUUUGCUGAUUCCGACAAAGAAAAACUACUACUAUUUUCAGGAAAUCCAGAAUGCAAAUAUUUCAAAUCCAUUAUACACAAAAACAAUGUGUUUUUCCAUAAAUAGUCUUUGCAAAGAAAACAUGUGUCUAUGAGUUAUAUUAGAAGCUGUGGUAAUAUAGCAGAGCGCAUAUAUAGACUAGGAAGAAAAAAAACUAUAUUCUUCAAAUAAUUGUGACAGCGGA
rnacentral:lncRNA from 1 species